CACGUAGUUAGCCGUCCCUUUCUGGUUAGAUACCGUCACACGAGGAGCUUUCCACUCUCCUCGUCGUUCUUCUCUAACAACAGAGUUUUACGAUACCGAAACCUUCUUCACUCACGCGGCGUUGCUCGGUCAGUACUUUCGUCCAUUGCCGAAGAUUCCCUACUGCUGCCUCCCGUAGGUAGUUUGGGCCGUGUCUCAGUCCCAAUGUGGCCGAUCACCCUCUCAGGUCGGCUAUGUAUCAUCGCCUUGGUGAGUCCUUUACCUCACCAACUAGCUAAUACAACGCGGGAUCAUCUUUGAGUGAUGCAAUUGCAUCUUUCAAACUUAAACUUAUAGUUUAAAGCUAUUAUGCGGUAUUAGCAUUUCGUUUCCAAAUGUUCGUCCCCCGCUCAAAGGCAGUACUUCCCCACGCGUUACUCCACCCGUUCGCUGCUCAUCAAUCGGUACAAGUACCAAUCUUCAGCGCUCAACUUGCAUGUAUUAGGCACGCCGCAGCCGUUCGUCCUCGUCGACCG
rnacentral:rRNA from 1 species